GCGGANUGAGGUGCUUGCACCUUAUCUUAGCGGCGGACNGGUGNNUAAUGCUUAGGAUCUGCCUAUUAGUGGGGGACAACAUUCCGAAAGGAUGCUAAUACCGCAUACGUCCUACGGGAGAAAGCAGGGGAUCUUCGGACCUUGCGCUAAUAGAUGAGCCUAAGUCGGAUUAGCUAGUUGGUGGGGUAAAGGCCUACCAAGGCGACGAUCUGUAGCGGGUCUGAGAGGAUGAUCCGCCACACUGGGACUGAGACACGGCCCAGACUCCUACGGGAGGCAGCAGUGGGGAAUAUUGGACAAUGGGGGGAACCCUGAUCCAGCCAUGCCGCGUGUGUGAAGAAGGCCUUAUGGUUGUAAAGCACUUUAAGCGAGGAGGAGGCUACUGAGACUAAUACUCUUGGAUAGUGGACGUUACUCGCAGAAUAAGCACCGGCUAACUCUGUGCCAGCAGCCGCGGUAAUACAGANGGUGCGAGAGUCGACGUUUUAUCGGAUUUCUGGGCGUAAGCGUGCGUAGGCGGCUUUUUAAGUCGGAUGUGAAAUCCCCGAGCUUAACUUGGGAAUUGCAUUCGAUACUGGGAAGCUAGAGUAUGGGAGAGGAUGGUAGAAUUCCAGGUGUAGCGGUGAAAUGCGUAGAGAUCUGGAGGAAUACCGAUGGCGAAGGCAGCCAUCUGGCCUAAUACUGACGCUGAGGUACGAAAGCAUGGGGAGCAAACAGGAUUAGAUACCCUGGUAGUCCAUGCCGUAAACGAUGUCUACUAGCCGUUGGGGCCUUUGAGGCUUUAGUGGCGCAGCUAACGCGAUAAGUAGACCGCCUGGGGAGUACGGUCGCAAGACUAAAACUCAAAUGAAUUGACGGGGGCCCGCACAAGCGGUGGAGCAUGUGGUUUAAUUCGAUGCAACGCGAAGAACCUUACCUGGCCUUGACAUACUAGAAACUUUCCAGAGAU
rnacentral:rRNA from 1 species